rnacentral:lncRNA from 1 species
CCUUGUUCAACUUGUAUAAGAAUUUAUAGUUAAAUUCGUUAUAUUCUAGCAUUUCCAAAUUGAGGGACAAAAAAUAAAAAUUAAAGAAACUUUGACAUGUUUGAGCAUAGAGCAAGUCUAAACUCCUUGUCUAGUGAUUUUGUUCCGCAAUCAUGAUUAAACUUUGUCAAUUGUAUAUAUGUGUAUGUCUAGACAUUCAUAUAUGAGCUAGGGAUUGUUCGAAUGCAAUCAAAGGUUUGGAUCAUCCUUUCUAAGAGAGGGAAAAUGUGUAAAACUAAAUGGCAUCAAAGAUCACAAACAUAGAGAAAUUAACUUGGAAGAGAGAUGAUAAAAGGAAAAGACAUAUUUUUUUUACCAAUAAAUAGAAAUAUAUAUUUUGAGUCAAUAAUUCAAUUCUAAUAUAU